rnacentral:SRP_RNA from 1 species
UGCAAGCUCGAGCUCUGAAUCGGAUGAAGAAAGCGUAGAAAGCGAACUUUCUUCUCAAUUCACUGGCAGCGUCAGAGUAGCUCAAGACUCAUACUUACACCAUGAGGGAAUAGUUGAGCACCAGGCACACCUAGAGAGCGAGGUGGAGGAGCCUCAAGCUGAAGAAGUCAAGGAACACGUUGUGCAUGAAGCGCAUGUUGAACAGCCCCCCCAUGCAGAGCCUACAGUUCCAACUAUUGAGCCCGAGCCU